rnacentral:rRNA from 1 species
UACGUAGGGUGCGAGCGUUAAUCGGAAUUACUGGGCGUAAAGCGUGCGCAGGCGGUAAUGUAAGACAGAUGUGAAAUCCCCGGGCUCAACCUGGGAACUGCAUUUGUGACUGCAUCGCUGGAGUGCGGCAGAGGGGGAUGGAAUUCCGCGUGUAGCAGUGAAAUGCGUAGAUAUGCGGAGGAACACCGAUGGCGAAGGCAAUCCCCUGGGCCUGCACUGACGCUCAUGCACGAAAGCGUGGGGAGCAAACAGG